UCCCUGGUGGAAUAGUGGCUAGCAUGCGCUGCUCACACCGACGUGGCUUGGGUUCUAUUCCUGGUCAGGUAA